rnacentral:rRNA from 1 species
UCGAGAAUUUUUCUCAAUGGGGGAAACCCUGAAGGAGCGACGCCGCGUGGAGGAUGAAGGCUUUCGGGUUGUAAACUCCUGUCAUUUGGGAACAAUGCUACCGAGUUAACUGUUCGGUAGUUGAUAGUACCAGAAGAGGAAGAGACGGCUAACUCUGUGCCAGCAGCCGCGGUAAUACAGAGGUCUCAAGCGUUGUUCGGAUUCAUUGGGCGUAAAGGGUGCGUAGGUGGCGUGGUAAGUCGGGUGUGAAAUUUCGGAGCUUAACUCCGAAACUGCAUUCGAUACUGCCGUGCUUGAGGACUGGAGAGGAGACUGGAAUUUACGGUGUAGCAGUGAAAUGCGUAGAGAUCGUAAGGAAGACCAGUGGCGAAGGCGGGUCUCUGGACAGUUCCUGACACUGAGGCACGAAGGCCAGGGGAGCAAACGGGAUUAGAUACCCCCGUAGUCC